CUUUUCUAAUUGAUAUGUGGUGCUGCAAGCACAGCCAUAAGUGAGCACUGUGUCUUAGGCACGAGGCCAUCCUUUCUCAUUAAAUAUUUGAAAGAUUCUCUUUAAGUGUUCUCUUACAUAUGUAUAAUCUCUCCCCUUCCCAUUAUAACAGGCUGGUGACAUUUUCCAGGCUUCUGACUCUAGAACAGCUGAUAGAACUUACAAAAUUAAUAACAUUCCUGAGGUAUUCCUCCUACAGAUUCUUACUCAUUGUUAAUUGCUUCUGCAGUUGGUCUUUGAAUGAGUAGUUUGUUGAUUAGGCUUUCAGAGCAAAUCCACACACAAAAAUCAUACUGCCGCCUUUUUAACUAAAACCACUUUACCACUUAUCUGGUAUUUAUAGCAAAAUACACUGGACACCUGCUAUCUAUGUGUUUGUGUAACUGUAUGACAAGAAAUAAUAGGCUACAAAAACUAGCUGCAUAUUAGUAUUGCCCUAAAGCAUGCUCUUUUAUUUAGCACACUAAAGAUUGCUGUAUGGUAAGCUUUGUUGCGUUUUUUAAUCUUUCUGGUUAUCUGUUGAUGGGCUUGUAAAAGAAAGUUCUAUCAUGAGGAUCUAAUUCAUUCUAGGACUUGUGAGAGUCCAGCUCUGGCACCAUUAUUACACGCCAUGUCUCAACUAUGGAAUGCAUCAGCCUAAGGUUAAAUUAUUUAAAAGUGGUUCUGUGCAUGACACCUUUGCCUCACAGUAGAAAUUUGGACUGGCGACAGGUUGCAGUAGGGCCAGACUGUAGUAGGGCAGGGGUAGAGAAACUUUUUCAGCCCAAAGGCUGCAUUUCCUUGCAGGUUAUCUUACGGGGGUUGCAUGACAGUGGGGCAAAAAGCAGAAAGAGCAAUGAAUGUGACUCUUUCCUUUGUAGGCUACAUUAUAGCCAUGCAAAAGCUAAAUACAUGUUUUACAGAGAGGGGAUGAUAUAGCUCUCUAUCUGGCAAGCAAGGCAUGUCAUUGCAGUUCAGGGAUACAUUCCAACCAAGCAAAAGCACUUGAGGGUGCAGAGUUGAGUUGGUGAGGGUGUGGCCUAGAGAAAGUCCUGGGGGCCAGAUAGUAAGACCUGGGGGCUUCAUAUACCUAUCUAGGCCUAAAUUUCCCCAGUCCUGCUGUAGACCAUUGGGUCCUUAGACCUGGGUCACUGGUUGAUUGUUAGUCCAAGUGGUUCAGCGACAUGAGUGCCAUGUAGAACAGACAGUGGUUGGGUUCCAAAGCAGUCAAAGAUUGGAGGGACCAGAUGCAGUCAAACAUAGUCAAGGUCAAGCAGAGGAUCAGGAGGACUCAAAGUAGCUGCUUAUUUAAGGGCAGGCAGUAGUUAAUAUCCAAGGCAGAAACCAAGUAAAAGGGAAGCUAGGCUGAGAAACUCUUGAGUCCUGGGUUUUACGUAUGGUGUGCUCUUUUAUUCACAUCCUAAAACAUCUGGCAUGUUUUGCUUGUAAGAUAUGACCAAGCAAAUGUUCUUCAUUACCUACUGGCAGAUGCCCUCAAUGUGGCAGCACCUUAUUUGGAGCCAUUAAAAAAAUCUCUCCCUACAAUGAACUUUUAAUUAAUAUUUGUGUUGGCUGGCCAUAAGGAAGCCAGCCUGCGGCACAAUUAAGAGCAGAUGACUAAAUAUAUAUACGGUAACCUCUCCAUUAAAACAUUUAGGUUGGAAAUCUCUGGAUUUCCGUAUUCAGAAUGUACAUGAUAUAUGGGAAUAGCUUUUCCUUUCAGCAUUUGUAUAGCAUGACCAGAAGAGAGAUUGUUGUCUAUGGUGUUCCUUUCAUAGGUUCUUGAGGUUUUUGUAAUGCUUCAAAAAGCGGUGGAAUCUUGCUUGAUCCGAGAUAACAUGAGGACAAGAGAACACACACUAAGGGAAAUAGUACAUCCAUGGUUCAACAUUAAUAUCUCUUUUAAAACAAAGGCAACACUAUCGUAUAUAUCCAGCCAAAACCUUUCUUAGUAGACUAUAAAAGACAAAUGAAUGAAUGAGAACACUGCACAUGCCAGUUAGGCCCAAAUAUUUAUCAUUUCUAUAGAGAUAAAGAAAUGAGAUUAAAACCAAGACAUGGCAGCAUGACCUGCAUAUUACUGCUAAGAGAUCGUUUGUAAAUAAGGAUGUUGGCAGUGGAAUAUUUUUCUAAUGUUGUACAGAUCAGUAUCUAAGGUGGUUUAAGCCUCUAUGAAAAUACACUCAAUUGCAAUCAGUGCUGCUAACUUCCAAGUACAUAUGUGCAGUGCCGAGAAAUAAAUGUUUAGUUUGGCAGACCACAAUAAUGAGAGAUAUGUGAGAGAACUUUUUAUAAAGAUAAAGAGCACCUUCGGCAUUUAUUUUGUUGCCUCCUGAUUCAUCAAGUACUUAAACUACUAUGCGUUUUGAUUUAUUUUCUAACACUAAUUUGUGGAAACAAUGUUUCAUUUGUAAAUGUUUGCUGAGAUCACAUGCUUCAUAUUCUGUAUUAAUUUUUCAUAAAACAGCUGUUACUUUGCCAACAUUAACAUAAAAUUCAGAAUUUAGGUUUGACCAAACUGGUAACCUCAUAGAUUCUCCUCUUGUCAGUAAAUGCUUGAACACAGUUUUGGCGCAGUCUUGCAACAUGCCCUUUCUCAAGAAAGAAUUGUCUGGGCUAGAAAAAGCGUUGGCGCAAGAAAAAGGGUUGCCAUAGUGACUGAAACCUACACUUAGUCAUCCCUCAAGAAAAGUAGGCUGCAAGAUGCACCUUUGUAAUGGCCUUUUGAAAGUAAGGGACCCUUUAAAUUGAAGAGCCCAUUUCAUUGUCUAAAUGCAGAUUUCUGUCACUUGCAAGAGAAAGGAUCUCUGGAGUACGGUUUGUGUAUCAAUGCUUAUUUUAAUCGCUUUUCAUCCAGAAAUGUCUUAAUGAGAAUGAAGGUUCCUUUUCUGUGGUGCAGCAGGGCUCAGAGUUUUGGGCCCGAGCAUGGAUCUCAGUUUGGUUCCCUAGAGUUACAGAGAAAGAACAUAGACCCUAGUACAGAGGCUUGAAUAGCUAUGAUCAGACUUGAAAAGCACAGCUUGGGAAUUCCUCCUUCACAGAGAUCCUUCACCAUUUAUAGUAGCAGUGAUGAAUGUUAAAGGUUUAAUGUUUGUCUUCUUUUACCCUGUAACGUGUGAGGCAGCUGCAUUUCUCUUUCUAGCACAUGUACACUGAAGAAACACUAUGAGAUGUUGGCACAGACCCCACCUUGCUGUCGUAUGAUUCUCAUCAAUGCACAUACUGGAUAAAAGACAUAUAACUUCCUCACAUGCUAUUGGGUAGAAGUGAAGUGUUUGCUUUUCUAAAAAAGUGGACUUGCUCCUACUAUAAUGUGUAAGGCAGUUAAAAAAACAACAACCGCUGAUUGUGGACAGGCGCUAAAGUUUAGUGUGAUCCACCAAGAUGGAUGUAGCCCACUGAUCUCACAGUGGGGUUUUAUAAACUUACUGUUUUUCCUUCUGCCUCAGAUAGUAAAACAGGAAUAUUAACUGGCAGAUUAAAAGGGGCUGGGAUGGUCUCAGCUUUGGUCGGUCCUAAGUUGUUGUCCUGGACUGGUCUUGUGAAGGAACAAGAUUACAGUGAUCUCAAGGAUGCACCUAGAACCACAUACAGCCAUUGUGAAGCUUCAUAGCAUCAUAUAGUUGGAAGAGACCCUGAGAACAAUCUGAUCCAACCCUCUGCAUUGCUGGAAUAUGCAGCUGUUCCAUAUGGGGAUGAAACCAUUACUUGUUCUGAUAUUGUCCAGGUCACAAUUACAGUAGCUACAUCAUGAGCAGAUAUCUUGCAACUAUAUUUGCAAAUAGGUUUCUUAUAAGGAUAUAAACUGGGAGCCACGGCCUCAUAGACACCUGAUCAAAUAUAGAUUGCAGAGUAACUUGUGUUGCAUUUAGGCAGUUAUGAAAUGUGAACGAUAUACAUAAGCUAUAAGAAUGCCUAUUCAUGACUAAAUUCUAUUGAAUUUUGGAAUAUGUUGUACUGAAUACAUUUAUCUAUCUUUGGUCACAAUUGCUCGAUUAUGCAUAGACAAUUCCUGUAUGGCAACUGCUUGAUUAGGCAUAGUCUUCUAUAAGCAUUUAGACAAAACUGUUCUGUAUCCAGAGGAUGAAUCCUGUGAUCAACCUGUUCGCUUCACUGUGUGUUAUGUUGUUUUUCACAUGCAAUGACCCAUUUAGAAUAAUGACCUGAAUUUCUCUGGGCCAGAGUCAGAUGGCACUGUUUGUCUCAGUUAUUUAUUUUACCAGUGUGCUAGAUACCAUAUGCCUGUGAGAAUGCAACCAUUCCUACUUAAUCUUGCUUAAAGCCUCUUCCUUAAACGGGUAUUUAAAAAACAUACCCCUGCGUAACAUCUUAUUUGGUAAAUGUCAAAAUGAGUAUAGAUCCAUCUUUGGCUGGAUUGGCAUUUCAAGGGAUUUAUUUCUUAAAAGGAAUAAAAAAAUGUAGCUUACAACAUUGUCUAAUGGGCUUUAGACUUGGCAUUAUACAGAAGCUGUUGAAGAAAAAUGGUUCAACAAAAACAGUUUCCAAAUAUGCAGUGAAAUAAGGAUCUUAAAAGGCUUCAUCCUGAAAGCUACAGCAUUUGGUUUGGAAGCGCAGCAGC